GUCCUUUUGUUUAUUAAUUUAAGGUCUGGCCUGCCCACUGAAAUUUAAAUGGCCGCAGUAUUUUGACUGUGCAAAGGUAGCAUAAUCAUUAGUUUUUUAAUUAAAAGCUUGUAUGAAGGGUUGGACGAAGUAAAAUCUGUCUCUAUUUAAUUUAUAUUAAAAUUUAAUUUUUAAGUUAAAAAGCUUAAAUAUUAUUAAAAGACGAGAAGACCCUAUAGAUCUUUAUAUUUUAUUUAUUAAUUUUAAUAUAGAAAUUUUUAUUUUUUAAUAAUAAAAAUAUUUUAUUGGGGUAAUAAAAAGAUUAAUUAAAUUCUUUUUAAAAAGUUACAUUAAUUUAUGGUUAAGUGAUCCAAUUUUUUUGAUUAUAAGAUUAAGUUACCUUAGGGAUAACAGCGUAAUUUUUUUUGAGAGUUCAUAUCGAUAAAAAAGUUUGCGACCUCGAUGUUGGAUUAAAAAUUAUCCCGGGUGCAGAAGUUUGGGAUUUUGGUCUGUUCGACCAUUAAAUUUUU
rnacentral:rRNA from 1 species